GAUGAACGCUCGCGGCAGGCCUAACACAUGCAAGUCGAGGGGGAAGUUACUUUCGGGUGACUGAGACCGGCGUACGGGUGCGUAACGCGUAUACAAUCUGCCUUUCACUGGGGGAUAGCCCGAAGAAAUUUGGAUUAAUAUCCCAUAGUAUAUAGGGACGGCAUCGUUUUUAUAUUAAAGCUUAGGUGGUGAAAGAUGAGUAUGCGUUCUAUUAGCUAGUUGGAGAGGUAACGGCUCCCCAAGGCGAUGAUAGAUAGGGGUUCUGAGAGGGAUGUCCCCCACACUGGUACUGAGAUACGGACCAGACUCCUACGGGAGGCAGCAGUGAGGAAUAGUGGACAAUGGUCGGAAGACUGAUCCAGCCAUGCCGCGUGCAGGAUGAAGGUCUUAUGGAUUGUAAACUGCUUUUGUAAGGGAAGAAUAAGGGCUACGCGUAGUUUGAUGACGGUACCUUACGAAUAAGCAUCGGCUAACUCCGUG
rnacentral:rRNA from 1 species